AUGGGAACGCGAAGAACCUUACCUAGACUUGACAUCUUCUGCAUUAAUCGUAAUGGAUGAAAUCCCUUCGGGGCAGGAAGACAGGUGGUGCAUGGUUGUCGUCAGCUCGUGUCGUGAGAUGUUGGGUUAAGUCCCGCAACGAGCGCAACCCUUAUUACUAGUUGCUACCAUUAAGUUGAGCACUCUAGUGAGACUGCCCGGGUUAACCGGGAGGAAGGCGGGGAUGACGUCAAAUCAUCAUGCCCCUUAUGUCUAGGGCAACACACGUGCUACAAUGGUGAGUACAGAUAGAUGCGAUACCGCAAGGUGGAGCCAAACUCUAAAACUCAUCCCAGUUCGGAUUGUAGGCUGCAACUCGCCUACAUGAAGUUGGAGUUGCUAGUAAUCGCGAAUCAGAAUGUCGCGGUGAAUACGUUCCCGGGUCUUGUACACACCG
rnacentral:rRNA from 1 species